ensembl:lncRNA LOC120096262 uncharacterized LOC120096262
UACCCUCACUGUGGGAUGACCAGAGGUAAACUCUGCAAGUGUGCUGGUGUGCAUAGCACCCUCCAGCGUGAUGAAAUCGAGCCAGUAGAGCUGAACUUCAGACCAGCACCAGCUUGAUUGAUUUGUGUAUGUUGGGCAGGCUUUUGUGCCACCUGUUUUUGUUUUUGUAUUUAUUCUAUGUGCAGCAAGAAGCCAAAGGGAAGAAAAGGAGCAUAGAGUAUUUCUUCCCUUUAUUCUUUCCUUGGAGUUUUCCAGCUUCUCUCCAUCACCAAAGGAGGCUGCUCUUCUCAGGGCGAUCACUCUCCAUGAGUCUUCCUCCUGGCUGCCCUCUUCUUCUUGUCUUAACAUGCAGCUGGGAUCCUCUCUUGUUCCCUGACAAUUAUGACUACUCUGAAACUGUGAAGCAGGAUCCAUAAAUGUGAAAACUCUGAAUAGCUGUAAACAGUUCCCAAGCUGGAACUGCUUGGGUCGGAAUUAAUAAACGACAAGGUUGGAGGAGGCCGAUGUGUUCCGAUUUGUUAUCUUUUUGUUGCCUCUGUGUAUAUGACUAAGGAAUCCAUCGAAGUUCUCAGUCCAGACAUCUAAUGAGCGUGUUUUAAUAACUCUUCUCC